GCCUCCAUAGCUUAAUGGUAAAGCUGCAGACUCUUAAUCUGUAGAUCUAGGUUCGAUUCCUAGUGGAGGCA
rnacentral:tRNA from 1 species